AUUGAACGCUGGCGGCAGGCCUAACACAUGCAAGUCGAGCGGAUGAAGGGAGCUUGCUCCUGGAUUCAGCGGCGGACGGGUGAGUAAUGCCUAGGAAUCUGCCUGGUAGUGGGGGAUAACGUCCGGAAACGGGCGCUAAUACCGCAUACGUCCUGAGGGAGAAAGUGGGGGUUCUUCGGACCUCACGCUAUCAGAUGAGCCUAGGUCGGAUUAGCUAGUUGGUGGGGUAAAGGCCUACCAAGGCGACGAUCCGUAACUGGUCUGAGAGGAUGAUCAGUCACACUAGAACUGAGACACGGUCCAGUCUCCUACGGGAGGCAGCAGUGGGGAAUAUUGGACAAUGGGCGGAAGCCUGAUCCAGCCAUGCCGCGUGUGUGAAGAAGGUCUUCGGAUUGUAAAGCUCUUUAAGUUGGGAGGAAGGGCAGUAAGUUAAUACCUUGCUGUUUUGACGUUACCAACAGAAUAAGCACCGGCUAACUUCGUG
rnacentral:rRNA from 1 species